rnacentral:lncRNA from 1 species
AUGUCAGGAAGAGGCAAAGGAGGAAAGGGUCUUGGAAAGGGAGGAGCCAAACGACACCGUAAGGUUCUCAGAGAUAACAUUCAGGGUAUCACCAAGCCUGCUAUUCGUCGUCUUGCAAGACGUGGUGGUGUGAAACGUAUCAGCGGUCUAAUUUAUGAAGAAACUCGCGGUGUUCUCAAGAUCUUUCUUGAGAACGUCAUUCGUGAUGCUGUGACCUACACCGAGCAUGCUCGCCGUAAGACUGUUACCGCGAUGGACGUUGUUUACGCUCUCAAGAGACAGGGAAGAACUCUCUACGGUUUCGGCGGUUAG